UGACUUACUGUAUUCUGAUUCGCUGUUU
rnacentral:piRNA from 1 species